UGGGGAAUAUUGCACAAUGGGCGAAAGCCUGAUGCAGCGACGCCGCGUGAGGGAUGACGGCCUUCGGGUUGUAAACCUCUUUCAGCAGGGACGAAGCGCAAGUGACGGUACCUGCAGAAGAAGCACCGGCUAACUACGUGCCAGCAGCCGCGGUAAUACGUAGGGUGCAAGCGUUGUCCGGAAUUACUGGGCGUAAAGAGUUCGUAGGCGGUUUGUCGCGUCGUUUGUGAAAACCAGCAGCUCAACUGCUGGCUUGCAGGCGAUACGGGCAGACUUGAGUACUGCAGGGGAGACUGGAAUUCCUGGUGUAGCGGUGCAAUGCGCAGAUAUCAGGAGGAACACCGGUGGCGAAGGCGGGUCUCUGGGCAGUAACUGACUCUGAGGAACGAAAGCGUGGGUAGCGAACAGG
rnacentral:rRNA from 1 species